UGAAACUCCUUUGUUAGUAGAGCAAGGUCUCAUUGAAUUUUAUGGAAUCUGCCAAUUGUGAGAGUAACCGGAAAAUGAGUAUAUUCAUGGUUCCAGAAUCUUGGAUGAAUUUGGAUGUAUUAAGCUGCUUUGAGAUGGUAUGCCAUGAUAUGAUAUAACCUAUUUAUAUAUACGGAGUUACAAACCCUUCCAAUGUUGAAUAAUGGGUCAUCGCCAAAUGAGUGAUACGCCAUGAUAAUUCGCACGCCUCUUAUUCUGUUUUUUAGACCAAUUAGUCUUAAAGUAAUGAGUAGCAAAAAAAACUUAUUGCGCGAGUCUUUGGAUUAGCUCCUCAAUAGCACUGCCCUUGGACCUCAAUGACACAGCUCAACAUGAAUUUCGCAUCUAAAGGUUACAUACUUUCCUUUAGAUUUAUUAACUCCAGUUCAAUAAGGAUUUCAGCAUGCCGUAAAUCCAAAUUGAUAAUUUUACUAUUGUUUUGGCUGCUAAUUGUUUCAUCCAGAAGUUUCUUCAUUUUAGAGGAGAACACUCAUUCAUUCACAGAAUAAAAGUUUACAGAAGCUUGCGGAGGCAGCUCAUUUAGUUUAGGAGAAAAUCCCUGGAGUUUGAGAUGGUUUCCCUCCCAUUGUUGUGUACUAUAUUACACCGCAGAUGCCAACUUUGCAUUGUACUGCUGAAUAAAUCUUGCCCUGUGCGCAUAAAUUUUUCCACUGGAUUGCAGGAAAACGUAGCUUCAGAGGAUGUGCAGAUUCAAGCAAAGCCAGUGCUCGCCGUCACCAAGGUGUUGCGGUGUUCCGCGGUCGUCCGCGUCUCUGAGGAUGAUAUGUUGCCAGGCUAUGCGAUGGAGACACUACCGGAGGAGGACAUCAUAUCCUAGCAACAACAGCCUAGGACGAGAUCCAUUUCGCCUGCAACGAAGUUUUGGUAGACCGUCCUGUCUAGGUAGGCGGCCGCGACAUCCUGACGAACUUGACUAGCAUGUGUAGGUGAAUACAAAAUUGAGAAAUAAGUGAACGGCAAAUUGUUGGUGAAUGUAAAUUUCUGAAAGGAAAUAAUUAGUUUUAUGUU